UGUCACAGUGGUUGAGGGUGUGUACUGCAGUGCCAAACCACCUUGGUUCUAACAAUGGCUUUACCAUUUAGGGUAUGUGACCUUGGCUGUCACAACUGUUGCAGAUGCCUCUGACCAGCCCAUAAGGUUGACUAGCCUGCUAUACUCUACAGAGCAACUGAAAAGCAUACAGACAUCCAAAGGAAUACGAGUAAAGCCAGGAAAGCUGCUGUCAAGGAUAGAUGACCUACACAGAUCCUUCUCAUUUUUCUUCAGGUCAGUGGGACCCCGAAGGCCCACCUGUCUGUCACUUCCUCUGUGGACCUCUCCCCAGCAUGCCCUGAUGGAAUUAGUUACUGUUUCAUUUGAGUACCUAUGAAAGCCGGCAUCCAAGAUGAUCCGGGAUCUACUUCCUGGGAUACAUGCCCUUAUUUAGUCCCCUCCUAUACUGACUGGGGUGA